CUAUAUUUAUGAUAUUAUUGUUCUGAAGUAAUAAGAGCUCCAAAUCGCGGGGAAGCUGGUGAAAAUCCAGCGCCGGGCCGCGACCGUGAGUGGGGACGAAACUCGCAAAAGCCACUGGCUUAGGCUGGGAAGGCGCGAGGAGUAGGAUGAUCCACGAGCCGGGAUACCUGCGAUUUGGAGAAUCAAAGC
rnacentral:ncRNA from 2 species